rnacentral:rRNA from 1 species
UAUCGGAUUGAUACUAAGCCAUGCGAGUCAUUGCAGUAAUGCAAGGCAGACGGCUCAGUAACGCGUAGUCAACCUACCCUAUGGACGGGAAUAACCUCGGGAAACUGAGUAUAAUGCCCGAUAGAACACUAUUCCUGGAAUGGUUUGUGUUCCAAAUGAUUUAUCGCCGUAGGAUGGGACUGCGGCCUAUCAGUUUGUUGGUGAGGUAAUGGCCCACCAAGACUAUUACAGGUACGGGCUCUGAGAGGAGUAGCCCGGAGAUGGGUACUGAGACACGGACCCAGGCCCUAUGGGGCGCAGCAGGCGAGAAAACUUUGCAAUGUGCGAAAGCACGACAAGGUUAAUCCGAGUGGUUUGUGCUAAACGAACCUUUUGACAGUCCUAGAAACACUGUUGAAUAAGGGGUGGGCAAGUUCUGGUGUCAGCCGCCGCGGUAAAACCAGCACCUCAAGUGGUCAGGAUGAUUAUUGGGCCUAAAGCAUCCGUAGCCGGCUCUGUAAGUUUUCGGUUAAAUCUGUACGCUCAACGUACAGGCUGCCGGGAAUACUGCAGAGCUAGGGAGUGGGAGAGGUAGACGGUACUCGGUAGGAAGGGGUAAAAUCCUUUGAUCUAUUGAUGACCACCUGUGGCGAAGGCGGUCUACCAGAACACGUCCGACGGUGAGGGAUGGAAGCUGGGGGAGCAAACCGGAUUAGAUACCCGGGUAGUCCCAGCUGUAAACUAUGCAAACUCAGUGAUGCAUUGGCUUGUGGCCAAUGCAGUGCUGCAGGGAAGCCGUUAAGUUUGCCGCCUGGGAAGUACGUACGCAAGUAUGAAACUUAAAGGAAUUGGCGGGGGAGCACCACAAGGGGUGAAGCCUGCGGUUCAAUUGGAGUC